rnacentral:rRNA from 1 species
AAACCGCCUAGAGGUAAACGGGUGGAUCCGCAAAGUCGGCUCGCGAAAUUCAGCUCGGAAGGCUGGUGCGGGCGCCUGCAGGACCGAGAUCUGUCUGGACUCGCCUGCCGCCCGUCUCCUGCCAGCCUGACGUGUGCACUUUUCGCGGGCAGAGCGCCACGACCGGUUUCCCGGGGCAGUCAGAAGGCGGCGAGGAAGGUAGGCGGGCACCCCCGGUGUUCGCUGUUAGAGCCUCGCCUGUUUCCCGAUCUGCUGGGGGACCGAGGAGCCGCCGCUCGGCCGAUGCUACCCGGCCGUCCUGGAGGGGUUUCGACUGGCAGAGACUGGGCCAACCCGUGUCUGCUGACCGCCCUUCCGGACGGAYCGGGGUGCUCUCUGUAGCUGGCCGCAAGCAAAGGGUCGGUGGCGAAUCGGUCGGCACUCCACCCGACCCGUCUUGAAACACGGACCAAGGAGUCUAACAUGCGCGCGAGUCGUUGGGUCGUACGAAACCCGAAGGCGAAGUGAAAGCGAGGGCCGUCCUCGCGACGUGCUCAGGUGGGAUCCCGUCGGGGACAAAAGGUAAGGCGGGCGCACCACCGGCCCGUCUCGUUCGCGUCGUCGAGGAGGCGGAGCAAGAGCGUGCACGUUGGGACCCGAAAGAUGGUGAACUAUGCCUGAGUAGGACGAAGCCAGAGGAAACUCUGGUGGAGGUCCGCAGCGAUUCUGACGUGCAAAUCGAUCGUCAAACUUGGGUAUAGGGGCGAAAGACUAAUCGAACCAUCUAGUAGCUGGUUCCCUC